UACGGAAGGGGCAAGCGUUGUUCGGGAUCAUUGGGCGUAAAGGGCGCGUAGGUGGUUCUGUAUGUCUACCGUGAAAGCGUACGGCUCAACCGUAUUUUGUCGGUGGAAACUGCAGGACUUGAGGCUGGGAGGGGCUGGUGGAAUUCCCUGUGUAGCGGUGAAAUGCGUAGAGAUGGGGGAGAACACUCGUGGCGAAGGCGGCCAGCUAGACCAGUUCUGACACUGAGGCGCGACAGCGUGGGGAGCAAACAGG
rnacentral:rRNA from 1 species